GACGAACGCUGGCGGCGUGCUUAACACGUGCAAGUCGAACGGAAAGGCCCUGCUUGCAGGGUACUCGAGUGGCGAACGGGUGAGUAACACGUGGGUGAUCUGCCCUGCACUUCGGGAUAAGCCUGGGAAACUGGGUCUAAUACCGGAUAGGAGCCAUCUUUAGUGUGAUGGUUGGAAAGUUUUUUCGGUGUAGGAUGAGCUCGCGGCCUAUCAGCUUGUUGGUGGGGUAAUGGCCUACCAAGGCGGCGACGGGUAGCCGGCCUGAGAGGGUGGACGGCCACAUUGGGACUGAGAUACGGCCCAGACUCCGACGGGAGGCAGCAGUGGGGAAUAUUGCACAAUGGGCGCAAGCCUGAUGCAGCGACGCCGCGUGGGGGAUGACGGCCUUCGGGUUGUAAACUCAUUUCGCUAGGGACGAAGCUUUUUGUGGCGGUACCUAGAUAAGAAGCACCGGCUAACUACGUG
rnacentral:rRNA from 1 species